UACGAAGGGUGCAAGCGUUACUCGGAAUUACUGGGCGUAAAGCGUGCGUAGGUGGUUCGUUAAGUCUGAUGUGAAAGCCCCGGGCUCAACCUGGGAAUUGCAUUGGAAACUGGCGGGCUUGAGUGUGGCAGAGGGGGGUGGAAUUCCACGUGUAGCAGUGAAAUGCGUAGAGAUGUGGAGGAACACCGAUGGCGAAGGCAGCCCCCUGGGCUAACACUGACGCUCAGGCACGAAAGCGUGGGGAGCAAACAGG
rnacentral:rRNA from 1 species